UCGCACCCCGCCUCCCCCACAGUCCUCCGAUUCCCGUUUUCCGAAAGGAAUGUCUUCAGGGCCCCUUUGACCCGUCUUUUCCAGUCCACACGACAUGUCGCUACUCGAGGUCACCGUGACCUUCUGUGUACGCUGCUUGGGGUUCGUCGUGUGAGAUGGGCCAGCUGGUUCUGGCUACGGAUCGGUCAUAGGGAACGGUGUUUCGGAACUUAACCCUAAUUGUCUUCGAAUGGUUUCAGUCUUGCGUUUAUAGUCGUCUGGGUCCACCUUCUAUACUGCUUGGUGUCUUCGUGACUCUGCGCCUGCUGAAAAGCAGGAUCGGAUGAGCUGUCGCCCGGCGGUGGAAGGGUGGUAUUGGACACUCCAGUCGCCUUUGGCGUGUGAGGGCCUGUGCUAUGAGUCGAUUUGGGAAGAGCCCCUGGUCUGGGGUCGCUCGUCAGCACUGUGUCGCUGGAACUCGUACUCCGGUCAUGAUGGAUUGUGCUGGUGGUGCUCAGCUUGCUUAUCUGCUAGGAGAUGGGUCGGGAUCAGCUUGCUGUCGUUGACUAGACGUAACGCUAGCCUUUGGCACUGCGUUGUGCUCCUGAGAGUAUAUGGGAAGGGUGUAAUAUUGGCCACAUACUGUCAAAGGAUUUGAGCAUUUCACUUUUUUUUUUUGCCGUUAAUCAUCUCGCCGGAAUCACCUAAACAAAUCCCUCAGCUGGAUUAGGUGAGCGGGAAUUACCACGGCUUCAACAGAAAUGCUCAGCCUUAGACACAUACCACGCCUUAUUACUAGCUCCGGGCACCCGGAUCUCUCAUGUCACAUCUAGUUGACGCAGCCGUCGGCGUUAAACCCGGCUCCCCCAAAAGCGUUCACCGAUCCAUCCAACCUACCAGCCAGGCUUGCCAGCUCCCGGUACUGCAUUUCGGCAACAGCCACUAAUGCAUCCUAUGAGAAAUCCGACCGGACGCAUUAACUUCCUCUUGUGGGUUUGUCCCACAAUGACGGGGGGCGCCGUUUAUGCGUCAACUACCUCGCGGUGGGCGAUGCUCCCUCGCCUCUUCCCAACAGGGCUGAGCCGAGACGAUAGUGCGGAUUUUAUAGAUAUUUUUGGCCGUACGCAAAAGCCUUCCUAGCUGCUCACGUAAGCUCGACGGAAGCGAACCAAAAACCAGUCUCUGUUGGCAGUGCGUUCUUACAGAAAGAGGUUCUCUUGAGCGGAUCCGGAGACAUAGUUCAUGUUGAAACUCGCCGAUUUCAUAUCGAACUCCAAAAACGGUACACAUUCGGUUUUAAAUUGGCAACAGUGGAAGUAUGAACAUGAGUGACCUGUAAGGUGUUCGCUUUCCGCACAGAUUCAUCCGCCGGGACCCAUCUCGAGUUGGUGUCAAAGCUUAGUGCUUGUCUGGUCUUUGAAUC
rnacentral:telomerase_RNA from 1 species